rnacentral:rRNA from 1 species
GACGAACGCUGGCGGCGUGCUUAACACAUGCAAGUCGAACGCUGAAGCUCAGCUUUUGUUGGGUGGAUGAGUGGCGAACGGGUGAGUAACACGUGAGUAACCUGCCUCCUUCUUUGGGAUAACGCCCGGAAACGGGUGCUAAUACUGGAUAUUCACUGGUCUUCGCAUGGGGGUUGGUGGAAAGGGUUUUUCUGGUGGGGGAUGGGCUCGCGGCCUAUCAGCUUGUUGGUGGGGUGAUGGCCUACCAAGGCUUUGACGGGUAGCCGGCCUGUGAGGGUGACCGGUCACAUUGGGACUGAGAUACGGCCCAGACUCCUACGGGAGGCAGCAGUGGGGAAUAUUGCACAAUGGGCGCAAGCCUGAUGCAGCGACGCCGCGUGAGGGAUGGAGGCCUUCGGGUUGUGAACCUCUUUCGCUCAUGGUCAAGCCGCAACAAUGGUUGUGGUGAGGGUAGUGGGUAAAGAAGCGCCGGCUAACUACGUG